rnacentral:lncRNA from 1 species
GGGAGGUUGGAACCAAAAAAACAAGAAAGCCAGCCAAGUGGAGAGAAGUACAUUUUCUACAGAUUGGAAGAAAAAGUUGGCACCAAUUCUUGUGUCCAUGGCCUUUUACUUCUGGCCUAGAGCUGGCAUUUAAUUUGAAUUUUACUAGCACACAAAAUCAAAUGCAGCAACCUGAUUUUCCCAAUUCAGGGUAUUUAAUUUAAAAAAGCUUACAAGUUGAAUAAGUGGCUUUUCAAAAUAUGGCAGAGCUUCUUCUCAUCAAGAUUAGUGAGAGACUGAGCCAAUCUACUAUCCCCACAGGUGAGCUCUAACUACCAAAAGUACUGGUUACCUCAAGUAUUGCUCUGCUUUGUGAAUUUCUUCCUCAGUCCUGUUGCUAAUCAACUCCCACUCUCUUUUUUUUUUUCCUUCUCUUUCUCUCUUUCUUUGUCUCUCUGUCUCAAUCUCUCAGUUUCUUUCUCUCUCUCUCUCUUUCUCUCAUCUUUGCAAUUGAAGAUUUUUGCUGCCAUGGCCACCGGAACCAUAGCAAUGUACAGAAAUGUCCAAUUAUUUGGGCAGAGGGCAGUCAAGCCUAUGCUGAAUUGUAGACACUGCUGUGUUCCUGCACCUGUUUCAGUUAUCAGAGUCUCCUAA